UUACCGUUAAAGUAUAACGUCUUGUAUUUGGACGUUAUAUAUAGAAAGGUAACUUUUUUUUACACUUAUUAAUGUACUUUUAGUCCAAAAAACAACAAUUGGGUUCCGGGCUUCGUGCCAACUAUUUUAACCCUUAGGAGAUUUUAUUGAUAUUUCCUCACUGUUUUGACUUUAUACUUGAACUCAGUCAUGUUAUAUUCCACUGUUUUCAUAACUCAACCAUGUUUACUCUGUUUUAACACAUAAAUGAUCUUUUAAAUGAUAUUUUGAGCUGAGAAUCAUGUUUUGCUAUUGCCCGAGUGGCUUGUGAGAAUUUUGACUGAGUAAGGUCGAUGACCUAUUUGUGAGGAAACACUGAUUAUGAUUAUGAGGCCGAGGGCCUGAGAUAUGUACGCCAUGAGGUGGUUUGUUGAUAUGAGCCUGAGAACCUAGUGAUGAUGCCACGAGAUGGCUUGAUAUUGUGCUUGGGCCGUAAGGGGCCCCUCCAGGAGUCUGCACACCCCUAGUGAGUGCGGGUACCCAUUGUGAUGUGAGAGAUAGCCCGAGGGGCUGGUAUUAUUGACAUUGUGCCCGAGGGGCAAAAACCUUUAUGUGCUUAUCUGUCUCAUUUGUCUGUCAUUUAUUUGUUUAAUUGUUGAAAAGGUGUUUCUUGAAGUCUAAAUUGAACUUAUAUGAUUAUUCGUAUCUUUACUGAUUCACUGUAUUAAUGAUUUUACUACUUUAUUAUAGUAUGCAAUGCGCCUUACGUGAUUUCCUAUUUUUAGUCUUUAUUUAUGAUUAUUACUCACUGAAUUGGAGUCGCUUUACUCCCUGCACGCCAUGUGCAGAUUCAGGCGUUGCGGAUCCUGCUAGUGCGAGUUGAGAGCUCCCGGCAGAUUUCAGAGUCCACGAGGUAGCUGCUUGGCGUCCGCAGUCCCGUGCUUCUCCCCCUUUAUCAUUCUAUCUCUUAUCAGACAUUUUGUAAUAGCUUAUAGACUUUUCAUGACUUGUAUUAAGAUUGGUAGAUGCUCAUAACUAGUGACAUCUCAGUAUCAGGCUGUGUUGGGUUGAUCUUCCGCAUAUUUGUACUGUUGACUGCUUAAACCUAGGGUUAUUUU
rnacentral:lncRNA from 1 species